CCUGUCGGAAAAAAAGUAUGGCGACCUGUGUUGACGUCUUGAGCCGGCGUUUUUCUCUGAGGAAAAGAGCGAAAAGAGACGGAAAAGAAGGUUCGCGGCGGUCGCGGCCGCACUCUUGUUGCCUCAGACAAUUCGGACGCGGCCAAAUUGAACAAUCCACCCGCGCGUCCUGCCCUGCAGCCAAUUCCCCCCAACAACUUCACACGCUGCACUUUUCGACGAACAAAGUGCGAAAUUCGGCCCGAUCCGACUUGGCCCGGCUGAAAGUCGGCCGUCGUCUCGGAGGUGCGUCGCCAAAGGGCCAUCGCCAUCGCCGAGGACGUCGCCUCAGGCGAGGUGCUGCACUGCGACGUCAUCGCCAGCCUCACAAUCGUCACCACCAUGACCAGGGAGAUCUUCGAGGUUCAGGCCUACGAUUUUGGGCUUAACAUAUUCAAAAAUGUGACUGAAAAUUAACGGUAUGAGUUACGCAGCCCCAGUAACAGAACGCCCGACCAGCGCCCAAGAUCCUCCUCACCGUUGUCGCCAACCUUCAGCUCGACACCCUGCUCUUGAGUCAUGACCGACACUUAAAGGUGAUAUCCCUUUUGGGAACUUGUCCGGUACGGUCGCCAGGAGAAAGUGGCGCUGCCCUCUGAGCAGUACCAACUGGAGGUGCAGGACUCUGGAAUCGCCAGCCUGCAGUAGGACGGGGUCAUUGUCGAGGCGCUGUCCGUCAGCAAAACCAGAAUCCAUGUCAGGGACAUUAACGCCUCUGCCACUCUCAGGGUCGCCAAUCCCACUGCCCUCUACAUCCAGGACAAAAGCUGGAAUUUGAUUGCCUGGCGUCACUCGGGCCGACACGAUUUCCACACCAGCGAAGGUCUGCACAUCAACCUAGAGGCGAAUCUCGAGUUCUACUCGAAUGACAAGAGAAAUGGACCCAGUGCUCUUGGGAAGGGCGCAGCUGAUAGGAACUGAUCCUGUCACUGCCCGACACCCAGCACUCCCUCUGAACCAAGAAGCACCUCGUCAUCAACAAGCAGGUCAAACCGAAGGUCACCUACCUGCCUUCUGGACCAAACCUCCAAUGCCUUACGAGGCUUGUUCUCGUCUUGAACAUGUGGCGCAGAAGCCUCCUGCGAGUCUGUCUGCAAGGUUCAACUUCUCUCGUUUGUUGUGCUUGCGUAUGGAUUUGCCAUCAGGUCAGUCUCAUUGUCAGCGUCUGCCUUUAAUUCGGAUGCGCCGGAGAAAGUGAAAUCAUUUGCUGCACAAUAGAAACUGCAAAUCAUUGUGGGAGAACUCAAGCGAUAGCUAGGGCAGAAUCUGGGUCCAGAUUAUACUUCAAAACCGUACUAAAGCAAUUAUAAAUAAAUAAAUAAUUUUUUCUCUACUAUUCGCUAUUACGUCCAUGAUAAAAUUUAGCAAUUGUCAUUCAAAUGAAAGGAUGCGCCGCCUGCACCUACUGAUUAAA